rnacentral:tRNA from 1 species
GUGGGUAUAGGUCAAGCGGCAGAGCAUGUGCUUAGCAUGCAUGGGGUCCUGGGUUCAAUCCCCAGUACCUCCU